UACGUAGGGGGCGAGCGUUGUCCGGAGUUACUGGGCGUAAAGCGCACGCAGGCGGUCGCGCGCGUGGGGUGUGAAAACUGGCGGCUUAACUGCCAGAGGCCAUCCCAUACGGCGCGACUCGAGCCAUGCAGAGGUCCACGGAAUUGCCGGUGUAGUGGUGAAAUGCGUAGAGAUCGGCAGGAACACCCAGGGGGAAACCAGUGGACUGGGCAUGAGCUGA
rnacentral:rRNA from 1 species